UUUUACCUUUUUUUAGAGCUUUUCUUAAUGAAGUCUACUUUGCAAGGUUAAAAAAUGUGACAUAGAAUCCAAGGAGAGCAGCAACUCAAGAACAUCGUAAAUGUCAUAUUUUUAAUGAAAACAUUUAUUACUUGGUAACAAAAAUUAGAUGCAUUCUUCUCAUGGCAUGACCAGCGAGGUGCCCUGAAUUGACCCCACUAGAUUUUUAAAUAUGGAAUCACUUAAAAGUUCAGUGUACAGCACACCCAUGGAAACAAGGAAACGGCGUGCAAUGACAUGAGGGAAAGAAGGGAGGAAAAUGGAUUUUUGUUACCAGCUAAUAAAUAUUUCUAAAAAUUAUGACAUGUAGAUAUUCUUGGGUUGCUGCUCUCCUCGAGUUCGAGAUGACGUUUUUCAACCUAGCAAAGGAUAUUUCACUAAGAAAAGUUCUAAAAAAAGGUAAAAGAUACGAACUCUACAGUUGUCCAAAUUGCAACAGGCAGUACAGGCAUUCUUCAAGCCUUUUUAACCACAGGAAAUACCACUGCGGGAAAGAAGCCGUUUUUCAAUGCAGCCUUUGCCCACACAGGACCAAGUGGAAGCAUCGCUUAAAGACUCACAUGGCGUUAAAACAUACCGACAGUUGUAUAUCGGGGUUUUCUGAAAAUAAAUAAAAAUAAGAGCUCAAGUCUUUGAUUCCCUGCCCUUUCACAACAAGGACUACCGUGGUAGCAAAUGAUCUGACAUUAUGCUUUUUCAGGACAGGAAAGUUUUCCUUGCCCGGAUUGCCCAAAACAAUACAAACACGCAACCAGUCUUUUUACUCACAGGAAAUAUGAAUGUGGGAAAGAGCCUCAGUUCCAUUGUACCAGUUGUAAUUACAAGUCGAAGAGGAAGCAAACCCUCAAGGCGCACUUCGCUCUCAAACACCCAAGCCAGAUGAAAGACUGGCACUUGGUUUGCAAAUCCAACAACUGCUAAUUACAAUAUUGUGAACCAUUAUUUUAUUCUCUUAAAAUCUGUCCUUAACAACAGUUCAGUUAAACAGUUGUCAACAUUUUAAAAUAAAAUUGUUAUUCUA